rnacentral:rRNA from 1 species
AGCUUACGGCCAUACCAGCCUGAA